rnacentral:lncRNA from 10 species
GUCUGUUAACCCCUUGGCAUUGGAAAUAAUGAGUUUUGAACCUUAGAAGUAGUGGACCAGAUGAUCCAACAGAGCUGCCAUCAUAUUGUUGUUUCCAAAUACCUCUCUGCAGACCUGUGCAGCCUGUGAUGAGAUGUUCUCCAGCCUCCAGUAAAAUGAAAAUGUAAGGAGUGAGUUUUUCACAAGCCAAAUUUCUACUUUAAAGGAACAUCCUUUAUUUUGAGAUCAUUUGCAUACUCCAUUUUUUGUUCCAGAUUUUCUUAAAUUUGCUUUAAUUUAUUAAAAGUUAAACUCCAAAGUCUUUCCAUGGUCAUUCCUGAACAAUUACUAUCCAGUGUGUUUCCUGAACUCCUUUUAGACAGGAUUCCCAACUUUCCCCUGACCUAAUUGAGCAGAACCUUCACAUCCUAUCAAAGUCCCACCCCUCAAGUAUUUCUUGGAGGCCCUGGGAUGUAUUUAACGAUGCCAUCCCCAUUGAAUCUUUGGUGCUGCACACCAAGCCUGAGAAUUAUUGUCCAGGUUCCACUCCCACUACCAUGAGAGGGCUGCUCCUGUCUGUUCUCACAGAUGCUGCAGUUUCCUGCUGGCCCCUCAUUGGCAUCCACCAAUGUCAAGUUGGGAAAACUGCCCUCUCUUCUUCUUGUUUCUUUCCAAGAUGGCCCAAAGCAGCCUUAUUUCAGGCUCAUGUCUUUCAUUUGGGUUCAAAUACAGCCUCUGUGGUAGACUCACAUGUUUACUCUCCUACUGUGGUUGAAAUGAGUAACUGUGUCAAGUUCACCAGGCUUAGCCUGCUCUCCCCAAGGGGAAAUCCUUUCCAGGGAACUUAUUCAGUACCUCGUGUUUAAAGACUUUGGUAAAACCACUCACCAGUACUACCUGCCAGUGUGUCUGAACUAGAGCAAUAGAUGGAAUAUGAAUUUUUUCCCAGAGGGUACAAAUAUAUUUCCAUCAGGCCUGUAUCAUCAGCUUGACAAAUAUACCUUAAGCCCAGCCAUUGGUAGAAGUCCAUGCACAGCUCAAGCAGAAUCAUGGCUCUCAUCAUUUAGGAAGUUUUGGAAAUGGAAAUAGUACCUAAAGAGCUAGCCUCCGGUUCUUGUCAAUUAUCCUUAGGCAAAUUACUUAAUUUAUCGAGACCUUAGUGACUUUAUGUGUAAAAUGGGGAUAAAAAUAGUACUUACCUCCCAUGUAAAGUAGAUAGGUUAGUAUCUUAUAAGGGUACAUAAUAGAGCAUAUACAAUAAAUCUUUACAUAUAUGUCAGAUAUUAUUAUUAUGAGUAUUAACUCUGUAACACUGCCUCCUAAGGUGGAAGCAUAUGAAUAUUCUUAAUUGACUUGGGCUAGUGCAUUCUGACAACACUUCUUUUAAAGACAUACAUAAUGCCUUGGAAAAGAAAAUUAAUUAAUGAUGUUAUAUUACUAUAUUUACUUUAAACCUUAUUCUGAAAGGUUUUUAAAUACUCACAGAAGAUAUCUUGGAAUAUAAUAUACACAUAUAUAUCAAUUAACUACUAUAAUGUCUUAUUACUAGAUGCAUAAAAUUGAUAAUAGCAUUACAUCAGACUGUGGAAUAUAUAAGCUAAUAGAAAGGAAAAUUUUCUUAAUACUACAGAUUAUCCUUACCCUUCUUGCUUAUUUCCCUAGCAAGUGGCAGGGAAGUUCAAAUGACUGCUCACAUUGUAUCUUUAGUUCAAGUCACGGCUCAACCUCACAGAGGUACAGCUGACAAUUGCAGAUGUUCAUUAGUCAUGGAACCAUGGAGACAGACCCCACUGAUCAGUUUGUAAGCUGUGGGCAGAUCAUGAAAUUGUCUUGCCGCCAUACAGAUAAACAAAACAUAUGUGCUAUUAGUUUAGAGCUGAAGAUAGAAUUUGCAUGUGAACUUAAAAAUCAAAUGAGAAGCUACAUAAACUGUAAAAUUUUAGAGAGAGAGAAAAAUAUAAUACAAACUUUGAGGACAUAAAUAAAGGUAAGUCGUAAUGUAGAAGAGAGCCUCAUGCUGGCUGAAAUUAUGUCUAGCAUUUUACACUAGUGGAUUGGACUGGCCAAAGGCUUGAAACCUUGUGGAUUUGUGGCUCUUCAGAUAUGCUUCUGUAUUGGAAUGUGUUUGUGUUUGCCUUUAUUUGUUUUUAAUUAAAAAAAAAAUCUUGAAGAAAGAGUUUCUGCCUUGGUAGAUUUUCUUUGGAAACUCAGAAAGGGCUCUUGAGGGCUCUGUGGCUCUUUUGUGAUGAUAAACCAAAGCUUUGAGCUUGUCCCAGUUGGAAUUCCAGACACUAAAGAAGCAAACUUUAAUUAUUAUUAUUGUUUUCUACAGAGCUGAGCCCCUUUCUGAUUAUUCAGGUUGAUACUAAUAGUCUUCUAAACAUAUUGCUUUUUUUUUUUCCAGCUAAACUAGGACUACAAAGCAAAGCAGGAGAAACUUCACAAUAAGGUUUCA